UCAGAUGUCAUAAGAAAGCCUACGAUGUCUCAAGGUUACCUUCAACAUCAGUCAUCAUAACGUUCCAUAAUGAAGCUCGGUCGACUUUAUUAAGGACCAUAGUUAGUGUUCUGAGUAGAAGUCCUCCGCAGCUUAUUGAAGAGGUCAUUCUGGUUGAUGAUUGCAGUGAUGACCCCAUUGAUGGAGAGGUUUUAACGAGUAUACCCAAAGUGAAGCUUAUACGCAACAACCUCAGGGAAGGUCUGAUCAGAUCAAGGAUAAGAGGAGCGGAUGCAGCGAAAGCCAGUGUUCUAACCUUUCUUGAUAGUCACUGUGAAGCCAAUACAGGAUGGCUACCUCCUCUCCUAGAACGAGUUGCUCAGGUUAGUAAAACACUUCCAUCCUUGCAGAAUAUAGGUGGUUUCAAACGGCCUCGAUCAUAAGAAUCCCCGUUAAAUUACGAGAACUUUUUUAGGCUAAAAAAUACCCAUUAAUUAUUUCUGCAUUCGCACCGCCCUGAAACAUACCCUUUGGGAUAAGUUCCUGAAGUUACGAGCAUGCGCAGUAUGGUCUGAUAAGCAGGCAAGGCGCGAGAUUCAAAAUCACUAGCUCAGCAGCCACCCACGGCGCCAGCGCCCAACUAAGGGCCAACUACACACUGGGCUAAAAGUUCCCGUAAAUUGCUUUCACAUUGCCAAAAUACCUGCGACCUUGGAAAAAUCCCCGCGAAAGUUCUCGUAAUUUUGACAAGUACCUACUAUUUAGUGGGUAUUUUCUUUUGGGGAGAUUACGCUUAAUUUGCUUUCACAUUGCCAAUAUUACCUUGUAUUUUCUGAUCAGGGUAAAUUUCCCGAUCAAAAAAUACCUGGAACUGACGAACUUCGAGGCGGUCUGAAACCACCUAAUGUCUAGUUUUAUUAGGAUUGAUUUUCUACAACAGGUUGCUUAGGGAAAGAAAAACAUCUCAGAAAACUAAACUGAGAAGUUUUGAGACAAUUUGUAUCACUUUUUAGAUUGUAAAAGGCCUCAUUUCAACCCAUAAGGAAAGCCCAUAUAUUGUCAUUUGAUUUGAAGAAAUCCCAAGAAUUUAUUAACAACAUAUUUAGAUUUUUUUUAUAUUUGCAUUUUCGUCUGUCAAAUGAGAAUAACAAAUAUCUCAAGUUUACUUACUUUGAUUCCUUCAGAAAGAAAAAUAGUUUUGAAAUAAUCUUCUCUUUUUUUCUUUCAUCCAAUUGCUAUUUUUAGCUGAUGCUGAAAGUUUAAUGUAUUCUGUCUCUCUUGGCAAUUUAUCUCAGUUUUUUGCUGUCUUUGUUUAUUUAUUUUAUAGUAUUCUUUUGAAAAUAAACAAAUAAAAAAAAUGGUAAUCUGGUUUAUUCUCAUAAAAUAAGGCAGUGCUUUUGGUUUAUAGAAAUUGAACCAAAUAACAGAAUCCAAAGACUGAAACCUGCAAAGUUCUUCCCUUAGUCAAUUUGAAUAUAUUUUCUUUCAUUUCAAAUAUGCUGCUGAACAUUUUAUCUGGAAGGAAUUAAGAGGAGAUCAGAUAAAUGCUUCCUGAUCAAGAUAUUUAUGGAGCGAAGGAUUUACCCAAAUCCUGUAUUCCCAGUUGAGUCUGUCCUAUAUACCCAGGCAUUAAAGAGAGAUCGGUAUUCCCACUUGUGCGAUAAUAUAUUGUGAUUUGGUAAAAAUCUAUUCAAAUGGAAAAAAAUAGGAAAUAACAAAGUUGGGCUUUCACUAGGUGAUGGUGGAUAUUGAAUUUUUCAGAACCAGUUUGCAGUUGGCUGAAAGAUGUUGAUCCUGUAAUGAGAUUCUAACAUAAUUAUAAAUUUGUUUUUAAAGGAGGAAUGAAUUAUGAUCAACUCAAGCAAUCACUAAAAGUGUAUGACUUUUCCAUAGUUGUUAUUGUCUUUAAGGCUUUCAAAUUGAAUGCAUACACCAUGUCAGUGUGAUGUAGCGACCAAUUGGUAGUUUGGGGAGGGAAUCGUUCUAACUUAAAGAGUUGAUUAUUGUGGGGGGAAAAAAAGAAUGCCAGAGAAGUAAAAUUCAGGCAAAUAAUACUUCAGUUAUGACUUCUAAAAAGUUAUUAUCACUACACCGAUAUCAGAACGAAUGAAUGUCAUUAUAAGGACUGCUCCUGAAUUAGCUCUAAUACAAAAAAUGACUAAAAUGUAAUAUUCAAAACAUACUCACUAUUGGAUUUUCUUUUCAGAGUAGUAUUAACUUAAUUUUUUUAAAUUCAUAUAGGCCUACUAGAAGGUCCUUUAUACAUUCAGCGAUUUGUUGAUUAUGAGUAUGUAGAAUAUAUAAACAUUAAGUAUUCUAUAUUUACUUCUGAAUACUUCUGAAUGUCACUAUAGAAGACAGAUUAUUUUAUGAAUUUAAAGAAAAAUUACCCUCCCAUUACCACCUUGUCUUAUUUUUUUAAAAAUUAGAUCAGAUAAUCCUUCCUCUGUCUGAUGAUAUCAUGUGUAAUGCUGCCUACAGUCUCACCAACGAUACCGUCUCCUGGGGGGUGUUUCACAAAGAUUGAAGUAUAGGCCUGGUCACAACGCCCAAACUCUGUUGGAGCGUUCCUUGAACGCUAGGGAUAGGGGGCAGAAUUUCGACAACGUUCGUUAUCACGUACAAAAUGGGUGGAAAAAAUGGAAAACACGGUUUUUGCUUUAGCGGUGCACCGCUGAAGCCGGCAUUGCUUUAGCGGUUGUUUAGCGGUGAUGCGAGAUUUGAUAGAGCGGCAUCCUGUGCAUGCGGGUGUUGGCUCGGCGGGGGUUUAAAGUUGGUUUAGCGGCAUACCGCUUUUGACUACAGAGCUGAACAGAUCGCUUUGAUAGAAGUUCUGAUAGAUUCAAAAUGGGCUCCUGGUCCACUUCUCCCUGUAUUUAUAGCCAAAUGCUGGUCUCGCUCUGACACCUCCAUACCAAUCGCCAAACCAAAGUUCAUCACCGCAAUGGAUUGCUGCUUCAACGCCCGACACCGUUCCACCCAUCCCGUGUCCACUCGUGAAACACUUACAACCGCUCCACCAAAGUUUGUGCAACAUUUAAUCACCACCAGGGCAAAGAUGGCGAAGCAGCGGUGAUCCAGCGUGCAAGAUUUUUGCGUUGGCUUUAAUAGCAGAUGCAAGCGUCCACGAACGUGCGUCUAGCGGUGUCAAACUUUGACUGGCCGUUGUUGGAGCGGUGGUGAACUUCACCACUCGCAAUAUUUUAUAAAUAUUUUAAAACUAGGCAUAGGCAUUUAAGUGUGACUCUACAUCUUACUUAAAUCCUUGUGAAACACCCCCCAGGGCCCUGUAACACAAAGGUUAGCAAUUAAUCGCGUAAUGAAAUGGCCUAUUAAUAUUAUUGUUGCAUGGGCACUUUGCUCAGUUAGAUUCACUAUUAACCAAUCGGAAUUGUUCUUUCAAAUAAGCGAUUAAUCGCUAACCUGUCUUAUGGGCCCCAAGACCAAUCAAAGCUAUUAUUUCAUUAUUCCCAAUGACAUACCAACAGUUAGUCUGUAUGCUGACGUGACUGUAACAUAAAUGGUAGAAGUUCUGUUCUUGAAUUAGCUCUAAUACAAAAAAAUUUACUAAAAUGUAGAAGACCCAAAGGUCGUUAGUACACUGCAACCUUGCUCCUUUAGCACAG